rnacentral:sRNA from 1 species
CUUCCUCGAUCUGCUGCGGGCAGAUGAAGUGGAUAUGCGCGUCGAAGGCGCCGGCGGUCAGGAUCUUGCCCUCGCCGGCAAUCGCCUCGGUGGACGGGCCGAUGAUAAUGUCAACUCCCGGCUGGAUGUCCGGAUUGCCGGCCUUGCCGAUCGCCGCGAUGCGCCCGUCCUUCAGGCCCACAUCGGCCUUCACGAUGCCUGUGGCAUCCACGAUCAGCGCAUUGGUGAUGACGGUAUCGACGGCGCCCCCCGCGCGCGUCACCUGGGAUUGCCCCAUGCCGUCGCGGAU